CAGGACGAACGCUGGCGGCAUGCCUAACACAUGCAAGUCGAACGGAGUAAUGACUCGGUUAUACUUAGCGGCGGACGGGUGAGUAACACGUGGGUAACCUGCCUCAAAGAGGGGGAUAGCCUUCCGAAAGGAAGAUUAAUACCGCAUAAGCCUGCAGUACCGCAUGGUACAGCAGGAAAAGGAGCAAUCCGCUUUGAGAUGGACCCGCGGCGCAUUAGCUAGUUGGUGAGGUAACGGCUCACCAAGGCGACGAUGCGUAGCCGACCUGAGAGGGUGAUCGGCCACAUUGGAACUGAGACACGGUCCAGACUCCUACGGGAGGCAGCAGUGGGGAAUAUUGCACAAUGGGCGAAAGCCUGAUGCAGCCAACGCCGCGUGAAUGAUGAAGGCCUUCGGGUCGUAAAGUUCUUUGAUCAGGGAUGAUAAUGACAGUACCUGAAAAACAAGCCACGGCUAACUACGUGCCAGCAGCGGC
rnacentral:rRNA from 1 species